rnacentral:tRNA from 1 species
GGGGGUAUAGCUCAGUGGUAGAGCACAUGCUUAGCAUGCAUGAGGUCCUGGGUUCAAUCUCCAGUACCUCCA